rnacentral:rRNA from 1 species
UACAGAGGUCUCAAGCGUUGUUCGGAUUCAUUGGGCGUAAAGGGUGCGUAGGCGGCGCGGUAAGUCGGGUGUGAAAUCUCGGAGCUUAACUCCGAAACUGCAUUCGAUACUGCCGUGCUUGAGGACUGGAGAGGAGACUGGAAUUUACGGUGUAGCGGUGAAAUGCGUAGAUAUCGAGAGGAACACCUGCGGCGAAGGCGGGUUGCUGGGCCAACACUGACGCUCAUGCACGAAAGCGUGGGGAGCAAACAGG